rnacentral:rRNA from 1 species
UACGAAGGGGGCUAGCGUUGCUCGGAAUCACUGGGCGUAAAGCGCACGUAGGCGGAUCUUUAAGUCAGGGGUGAAAUCCUGGAGCUCAACUCCAGAACUGCCUUUGAUACUGGGGAUCUCGAGUCCGGGAGAGGUGAGUGGAACUCCGAGUGUAGAGGUGAAAUUCGUAGAUAUUGGGAGGAACACCGGUGGCGAAGGCGGCCAACUGGGCCUUAACUGACGCUGAGGCGCGAAAGCGUGGGUAGCAAACAGG